ACACUUACCUGGCAGGGGAAAUAUCAUGAUCACGAAGGUGGCUUCCCCAAGGUGAGGCUCAUUCGUUGCACUCUGGAUGUGCUGACCCCUGCAAUUUUCCCAAAUGUAGAAAACUAGAAUGCUUUAUUUGUGGUAGUGUGGGACUGCAUUUGAGCUCUCCCCUG